rnacentral:rRNA from 1 species
GACGAACCGUGCAAACGUUAUUCGGAAUCACUGGGCAUAAAGGGCGCGUAGGCGGCUUUCUAAGUCAGGGGUGAAAUCCGGCAGCUCAACUGUCGCAGUGCCUUUGAUACUGGAGAGCUCGAGGGAGGUAGGGGUCUGUGGAACUUCCGGUGGAGCGGUGAAAUGCGUUGAUAUCGGAAGGAACGCCGGUGGCGAAAGCGACGGACUGGAUCUCUUCUGACGCUGAGGCGCGAAAGCUAGGGGAGCAAACGGG